rnacentral:lncRNA from 1 species
UCAACACAAUAGUUGAAGUGAUAUUGCUUGAAGGAUACGAGGUGAGAAUUUGAAUAUUUAACCUAUUGCUUGAAGCAUACGUCACGCACCGUAACCUUCUAACAUGUAUGAAAUAGUAGUGUUCGCACGAGAUUUCCGGAGAAAUUUAAUUCGUGGACUUAAACUUGGGUUGAUGUUGUAUUUUUGUUGAUUUGAUGCGAUGCGGUUCAAUCUCUAGAAUUUGAUCCUCUGAUUCUCUCUCAACUGUAUGUCUACGCUUGAUUUGGAGGAAGCGGAGCACGUGAUGUUCUUGAAGUUUGUUGAACGUCUACGCUUGAUUUGGAGAAGCGGAGCACGUGAUGUUCUUCAAGUUGGUUGAAUGCUUACGCUUGAUUUGAGGAAGCGGAGCACGUGAUGUUCUUGAAGUUGGAGUCUUGGAAGAAAGUUUGUAUCUUCAAAACAGCUUUAAUCUUCGAGGGUGGUCAACUUCAGAAGUUAGGGAGUCUUCUAGCUCUUGGAAGAAUUCUCUUUAGAUCUUCUAGAGUCAAAAUUUUCCAACCCCU